UACCCGCAGCACAAGUGGUGGUCAUUAUUAUUGGGCCUAAAGCGUCCGUAGCUGGCCUGUUAGAUGCCUGGGUAAAUCGAUGCGCUCAACGUAUCGAACUCCGGGUAGACCGGCAGGCUUGGGACCGGGAGAGAUGUGAGCUACUCGAGGGGUAGGGGUAAAAUCCUGUAAUCCUUCGGGGAGGACCAGUGGCGAAGGCGUCACAUUAGAACGGCUCCGACAGUGAAGGACGAAGCCCUGGGGCGCAAACCGG
rnacentral:rRNA from 1 species